GACGAACGCUGGCGGCGUGCCUAAUACAUGCAAGUUGAGCGAUGAAGAUUGGUGCUUGCCCCAAUUUGAAGAGCAGCGAGCGGGUGAGUAACGCGUGGGGAAUCUGCCUUUGAGCGGGGGACAACAUUUGGAAACGAAUGCUAAUACUGCAUAACAACUUUAAACAUAAGUUUUAAGUUUGAAAGAUGCAAUUGCAUCACUCAAAGAUGAUCCCGCGUUGUAUUAGCUAGUUGGUGAGGUAAAGGCUCACCAAGGCGAUGAUACAUAGCCGACCUGAGAGGGUGAUCGGCCACAUUGGGACUGAGGCACGGCCCAAACUCCUACGGGAGGCAGCAGUAGGGAAUCUUCGGCAAUGGACGAAAGUCUGACCGAGCAACGCCGCGUGAGGGAAGAAGGUUUUCGGAUCGUAAAACUCUGUUGGUAGAGAAGAACGUUGGUGAGAGUGGAAAGCUCAUCAAGUGACGGUAACUACCCAGAAAGGGACGGCUAACUACGUG
rnacentral:rRNA from 1 species